UACGUAGGGGGGCAAGCGUUGUCCGGAUUUACUGGGCGUAAAGCGCACGUAGGCGGAUCGAUCAGUCAGGGGUGAAAUCCCAGAGCUCAACUCUGGAACUGCCUUUGAUACUGUCGAUCUGGAGUAUGGAAGAGGUGAGUGGAAUUCCGAGUGUAGAGGUGAAAUUCGUAGAUAUUCGGAGGAACACCAGUGGCGAAGGCGGCUCACUGGUCCAUUACUGACGCUGAGGUGCGAAAGCGUGGGGAGCAAACAGG
rnacentral:rRNA from 1 species